GCAGACAUAGCUCAAGGGUAGAGUGCUGGGUUCCCAUCCCGGUGGUGCGGGUUCGAUCCCCGCUGUCUGCU
rnacentral:tRNA from 1 species